AACGAACGCUGGCGGCAUGCCUAACACAUGCAAGUCGAACGAGACCUUCGGGACUAGUGGCGCAUGGGUGCGUAACGCGUGGGAACCUGCCCUUAGGUUCGGAAUAACUCUCCGAAGGGGGUGCUAAUACCGGAUAAUGUCUUCGGACCAAGGAUUCAUCGCCUGUGGGUGGGCCCGCGUUGGAUUAGCUGGUUGGUAGGGUAAAAGCCUACCAAGGCGACGAUCCAUCGCUGGGCUGAGAGGAUGAUCAGCCACCCUGGGACGGGGACCCGGCCCGGACUCCUGCGGAAGGCAGCAGGGGGGAAUAUGGGACACUGGGCGAAAGCCUGAGCCAGCCGUGCCGCGUGAGUGAUGAAGGCCUUAGGGUUGUAAAGCUCUUUUACCCGGGAUGUUAAGGCCAUAACCGGGAGAAUAAGCUCCGGCUACCUCCGU
rnacentral:rRNA from 1 species